AGUGAACGCUGGCGGUAGGCCUAACACAUGCAAGUCGAACGGCAGCACAGUAAGAGCUUGCUCUUACGGGUGGCGAGUGGCGGACGGGUGAGGAAUACAUCGGAAUCUACUUUUUCGUGGGGGAUAACGUAGGGAAACUUACGCUAAUACCGCAUACGACCUACGGGUGAAAGCAGGGGAUCUUCGGACCUUGCGCGAUUGAAUGAGCCGAUGUCGGAUUAGCUAGUUGGCGGGGUAAAGGCCCACCAAGGCGACUAUCCGUAGCUGGUCUGAGAGUAUGAACGGCCCAACUGGAAAUGAGACACGGUCCAGACUCCUACGGGAGGAAGCAGUGGGAAAUAUUGGACAAGGGGCGCAAGCCUAAUCCAGCCAUACCGCGUGGGUGAAGAAGGCCUUCGGGUUGUAAAGCCCUUUUGUUGGGAAAGAAAAGCAGCAGAUUAAUACCCCGCUGUUCUGACGGUACCCAAAGAAUAAGCACCGGCUAACUUCGUG
rnacentral:rRNA from 1 species